GGGGAUUUAGCUCAGUGGUUAGAGCGCUUGCCUACCAAGCCCAAGGCCCUGGGUUCGGUCCCCAGCUCCA
rnacentral:tRNA from 1 species